CAGUCGCCGCGGUAAUACGUAGGGUGCGAGCGUUAAUCGGAAUUACUGGGCGUAAAGCGUGCGCAGGCGGCUUUGCAAGACAGAUGUGAAAUCCCCGGGCUCAACCUGGGAACUGCAUUUGUGACUGCAAGGCUGGAGUGCGGCAGAGGGAGAUGGAAUUCCGCGUGUAGCAGUGAAAUGCGUAGAUAUGCGGAGGAACACCGAUGGCGAAGGCAAUCUCCUGGGCCUGCACUGACGCUCAUGCACGAAAGCGUGGGGAGCGAACAGGAUUAGAUACCCCCGUAGUCCCUGUCUCUUAUAC
rnacentral:rRNA from 1 species